GACGAACGCUGGCGGCGUGCCUAAUACAUGCAAGUCGAACGAGAGCGACCGGUGCUUGCACUGGUCAAUCUAGUGGCGAACGGGUGAGUAACACGUGGGUAACCUGCCCAUCAGAGGGGGAUAACAUCCGGAAACGGAUGCUAAAACCGCAUAGGUCUUCGAACCGCAUGGUUUGAAGAGGAAAAGAGGCGCAAGCUUCUGCUGAUGGAUGGACCCGCGGUGCAUUAGCUAGUUGAUGAGGUAACGGCUCACCAAGGCCGGGAUGCAUAGCCGACCUGAGAGGGUGAUCGGCCACAUUGGGACUGAGACACGGCCCAAACUCCUACGGGAGGCAGCAGUAGGGAAUCUUCCGCAAUGGACGCAAGUCUGACGGAGCAACGCCGCGUGAGUGAAGAAGGUUUUCGGAUCGUAAAACUCUGUUGUUAGAGAAGAACAAGUGCUAGAGUAACUGUUAGCGCCUUGACGGUAUCUAACCAGAAAGCCACGGCUAACUACGUG
rnacentral:rRNA from 1 species